AGACUCAUGAGAGCGUUUCCCAGCUGGGUCAGAAGUAACGCAUCCCUAAGCUGCUCCAAGUAACAAUCCUGUUAGUGGACCGGAAAGCCGCUUGUUCUCAGACCAUUGAUUUCAAAGCUAGAAAACAGCAGGCACUGUGUUGGGAGUAAGGAAUGUGGAGUCAUCUCUUCCCUCAGAGAAACACUGACAAGUGUUAGCUCACAGACUUGUGUGCACAAAGAUGGAUCCUCAGAGUUGUCCACUGGAGCACUGUUUGAAGCAGCAAAAGGAACCAAGUCAACUUUCCCUGAGUACGAAAAUGGCUAAAUAAAUGGUAAUUUAUUCAUAGAA
rnacentral:lncRNA from 10 species